UGUGGAUCCUCUUUGAAAUAUAAUUAAAGCUUUUGGAUGAAAGGCAAAGCUUGAAUGUUAUGCAUUUUCUUCAAGCAAUUAAUGUAAGGCAGGAUUUCACUGAGGGUCUGAAGAACUUGCAAUGUUCAAGCUUGUGGCUCACUAGUAACAGAAGAGCAUCCAAAUUCCAUGAUAUUUCCA